rnacentral:sRNA from 1 species
CCUACUUCCAGAAUGAAGUGAUUACCAAGGAAUAUCUGGUGAACAUCACAGGUGACAGGUGGCUCCCAGGAUGGGUAGUGGAAGGAAGAUGGCGGGUGGAUCAUUGCCGACGUGAUCCAGCCCCCUUCCCACAAAAACUCCUGUCUCUGUAGAAUACAGGGCUUCUCAUUCCACUCCAAUUGAGUGGUAUCCGUAUUAUGAAGUGGAGGCCUAUCGCCGCAGACACCACAGCAGCAGCCUUAACUUCUUCAACUGGUUCUCUGACCACAACUUCGCAGGAUCUAACAAGAUUGCUGAGUCCCCUGACAGAUCCUAUGUAAGGAGCUGUGGCGCAAUCCCCUGCAAUACUACAAGAGGAUGAAGCCACCUGAAGAGGGAACAGAGACGUCAGGGGACUCCCAGUUGUUGAGUUGAAUAUGAUGGAACAUCAGAUUUUACCUAAUACAGCAGAACUCCUAAAAAGUUACAACAGUAUGCGGGACGGCAGUACUCAGCAUGGUCUUAUGCACAGGAACUAAAGGAAAAAGAGAUCGAGUCACAAAAAAAUCAGGAAGAGGGGGUAAAUUUGGAUUGUAGGGAAUGAAAAAUAAACAU